rnacentral:lncRNA from 1 species
CCGUGGAUCUCAAAUAGAUCAUUUGUGUCUCGGAUAAAAUUACAGACCAAAUCUGCAACACGAUAGAUAAGCUCUGUCACCAAGAUGUCUUUUUUCUAAUCAAAAUAUUAAGACUAUCAGUCUAGUCCAAAGAGGAUUAUAUGGGACAUACUACAACUCUAAAUAGUGUUUCCUAAAAGCACUUCAGCUACGCUCAAUUUUACAUACCAAAUUCACUCUCCUAAAGUCUCUAAUCAACUAUAUCUCUUGUUAUAUAAUUGUAAAUUCUAAGGUCAUAUAAGCCUCCGUUUGGCAAACUUUAUAAAUUAACUUAUAAAUGAUCAAACUUCAUUUUCAACUACACAUUUUAAUGGACUCAUCAGUACUAUCAACUUUUCUACCAUUUAAUUCUAUCUAUUUAUAAACUAAACCGUUUGUAAACUCUUUCCACGCUGAACCUUAGUGUCCUGCAGGAGCCCCCCUCUGCCUUUUUUGCAGGUUAUCUUCGGCAUUUCCAGAGUUAUUUUUCAAGACUGUUCGGUCAACAUUUCAUUGACGAUUUUGAGCUCAAUAAUUUGACUUUCACUUUGAUUUUCAAUUUGGCAUAAAUCAAUUAUUUUUAACUACAAGUAUCAGCAGUGAAACAAGAGAAAGUCAUCAACUUAAUUGGGUCAGAAGGGAGAGGACCUGCCCUUCAUACUCCACAGGAACAAUAUCAGUAGGAAGAAAUAUAGAGUGACCCUCAAGUGCAAGCAUUACUAAAAUAAAUAAACAAAUUGAAAUAUCUACAACAGAAAACCAAUUGCCAUGUACACAAAUAUUGCGAGUGAAAACAUUGAAAUUGGUCCAGGAUGAAUGUUACCUAUAGCACCAAUUGCAUCUAGACGAUCAGCAUCUUGUACCACUCCGAAUUCUGGGGAAUAAUUACCCCCCUUAAUUCCUCCAAUCUCCUCUUUGAAGCCUGGAUAUGUAAAACAAAUCUAGAUUGAAGAAAAGAAUUAUCGAAAGCCAUGCCACCAGCAAAUAUAUUUACUGCAUAUAGAGGAGUUCCAGGUAUUUUUCAGGUAAAGACAGUGAGCAAAAGGUUUUAAGAAGAGAGAAUAAUUAAAAAUUCCGAAAAUCAAAUGACGGACAUAAAAAAUACCAACAAUCAGAAUGGUGAAAAAA